rnacentral:lncRNA from 1 species
CAGCUCUACCAGCUGAGACGGGUACAGUCUGGUUCUCUUCCUCCAUUUUUGCUGGGUUGCCGUCCUCACCUGGGAGUGCACAUCAGGAUGGUCCAGGACAAUCCCAGGCAGCUACAAAAGGCAUAUUUGAUAAUGCAUGCACAGGAGGAGAGCACCACCGAUCUGCAAAGUGGGAGAUACAACCGGAAGCAGCAAAAACAAUAGAAAACUGUUAAAAGAUGACUCUUUCAGGCCUGAGAAGUUGCAAUGAACCUGAGACUUUUCUGCACCUGGUGUGUGAGUUCUGAUACAAAGAAAGGGUAAUUCUGUUAUAAGAUGUGGCAAAACAGUGUGGCAUCUGCCAUGGCUUAGAGCAUGGAGGAGAGGCAUCGGAUGAAGCAGAGAAAAAUGAUGGUAAAGAAAAUCCCAAGGAAGAGGACUUUAC